CAAAUGACCCCCUCACCUGCCCUUGCGCAAUGGUCAUUAAUAAAAGCAACAUUUUCCAUUUCCCAAAUAAAUCCCUGGGACCCCUUCUUCUCCACACCACUUUUUUCUUUUCUCUCUCUUCCUCUUGUUCUUCAACCCA
ensembl:ncRNA C09D8.9 ncRNA